AGAGUUUGAUCAUGGCUCAGAACGAACGCUGGCGGCAUGCCUAACACAUGCAAGUCGAACGAAGCCUUCGGGCUUAGUGGCGCACGGGUGCGUAACACGUGGGAAUCUGCCCUUUGGUUCGGAAUAACAGUUAGAAAUGACUGCUAAUACCGGAUAAUGACGCAAGUCCAAAGAUUUAUCGCCGAAGGAUGAGCCCGCGUAGGAUUAGGUAGUUGGUGGGGUAAUGGCCCACCAAGCCGACGAUCCUUAGCUGGUCUGAGAGGAUGAUCAGCCACACUGGGACUGAGACACGGCCCAGACUCCUACGGGAGGCAGCAGUGGGGAAUAUUGGACAAUGGGCGAAAGCCUGAUCCAGCAAUGCCGCGUGAGUGAUGAAGGCCUUAGGGUUGUAAAGCUCUUUUACCAGGGAUGAUAAUGACAGUACCUGGAGAAUAAGCUCCGGCUAACUCCGUG
rnacentral:rRNA from 1 species